CAUAACAUGUUGAAACACCAUUUCCUGUAAGAUCACUGAAGUUAAGCCAUGUCAGGCCUGGUCAGUAUCUAGAUGGGUGACCACUUGAAUGUGCAGGUGUUGUA